GUCUGGAUGGCGCAGUGCUUAGCGCAACUGCUUAGUAAGCAGGAGAUCCCGGGUUCGAGUCUCGGUCUAGCACA